AGUUUGAUCCUGGCUCAGAGCGAACGCUGGCGGCAUGCUUAACACAUGCAAGUCGCACGGGCAGCAAUGUCAGUGGCGGACGGGUGAGUAACGCGUAGGAACGUAUCCGAGGGUGGGGGACAACUCCGGGAAACUGGAGCUAAUACCGCGUGGGGCCUGAGGGCCAAAGCAGCGAUGCGCCGACGGAGCGGCCUGCGUCCGAUUAGGUAGUUGGUGGGGUAAAGGCCUACCAAGCCUGCGAUCGGUAGCUGGUCUGAGAGGACGACCAGCCACGCUGGGACUGAGACACCGCCCACACUCCUACGGGAGGCAGCGGUGGGGAAUAUUGGACAAUGGGCGAAAGCCUGAUCCAGCAAUGCCGCGGGGGUGAAGAAGGUCUUCGGAUCGUAACGCUCUUUCGACGGGGACAAUGAUGACGGUACCCGUAAAAGAACCCCCGGCUAACUUCGUGCCAGCAGCCGCGGUAAUACGAAGGGGGCUAGCGUUGCUCAGAAUUACUGGGCGUAAAGGGCGCGUAGGCGGCACCAACAGUCGGGCGUGAAAUUCCUGGGCUCAACCUGGGGACUGCGCUUGAUACGUUGGAGCUAGAGGAUGGAAGAGGCUCGUGUAAUUCCCAGUGUAGAGGUGAAAUUCGUAUAUAUUGGGAAGACCACCGGUGGCGGAAGGCGGCGAGCUGGUCCAUUAC
rnacentral:rRNA from 1 species